UACGGGGGGGGCACGCGUUGUUCGGCAUUACUGGGCGUAAAGGGCUCGUCGGCGGCCAACUAAGUCGGAUGUGAAAUCCCCAGGCUUAACCUGGGAACUGCAUCCGAUACUGGAUGGCUUGAAUCCGGGAGAGGGAUGCAGAAUUCCAGGUGUAGCGGUGAAAUGCGUAGAUAUCUGGAGGAAUACCGGUGGCGAAGGCGGCAUCCUGGACCGGCAUUGACGCUGAUGAGCGAAAGCUAGGGGAGCAAACGGG
rnacentral:rRNA from 1 species